GAGCUGUCGAUAAGCACGGCUGUUUUUGUGCUCUUAUAUACUGUCAGCCUGUUUUGGCUGGCGUUAGUGAAGCUGUUUUCAACUGGAUGUCACAUUGUUGAACUCUGAUAAUUAAUGAAUAAACUCUCGAUGUGACGAUGGUAGAAUGUAAUUGUAACCCUGUGUUAAUUUAGUCGUUUGAUACCGUUUAAUAUCCAGUCCAUCUGUUUGGUGUUUUGUUUUUAACAUGCCCUGGAAUAAUUUAAAGUUUCACAAUGCCGGUGAUUUACGACUCUUUCGCGACAGUCAACUGGGGAGUAAACUGUGGUGGUUCUCAGAGGUAGCUCAUGUGAGCCAGCAGUGACAUCUGCAGUAGCCUUAAAAUACUGAUUAUUUAUUCUCCUACUAGCAGUGGAGGAGACUUUUCUGCUGAGGAAGAGGCCCUGCUGUCCUGCUGUCUUACUGGUGCCAUUGAGGGAUCAGCGGCUACUAUAUAUUCUUCUCGACCUCGAGUAUUUGGACUGAAGGACUCACAGACACGUUUCAUAUUUAGCUCUAUACAUUUAAAAAAAUAUAUUUUUUAAAUAUUUUCCUGGCCAGCCAUUUUGUUAUUCACAAAGGCUGUAUGGAGACAUUUUGGUUAUUGCCACAGACGCUUUCUCUUACUACGGAUGCAGGAUGUUGCGGUUUUACAACCCAUGGACUGAGAAAGGACCCAAUAAGUAAUCUGUUCACAUAUUCCAGGGUUAAACACAAAACAGGAGGCGAGAGCAGAGAGCAAGAGUGCAGCAGUUUGGUGGAAGGUGAAGAAGAGGUGAGCAUCCAAAAGACGAGCAAGAGGACAGUUUCAAAGGAGACAUCACGGCACAAUAAAAGCUAGAAAAACUCACCUGAUGUAGUGGUAAGGCGUUAUUCACCACUAGAUGGAGACAACCUGGCACAGGCCUCCUCCUGUUUCACUGGCAUAUAUCCAUCACCAGAGGGCUCCACUGACCUGCCUGCUGACAUCAGAGCACACCCCUGUGUCAUGUGACCUGUCCCAGGCAAGUUCAAAGGCAGCUGUGGUAGAGAGAGCAGAGAGUAUAGUAGAGCACUGGAAGGAUGAGGUGGAAACAGGAAGCGUGUAGAUUCAGUGGACGUGGCAUCCUCCAUCUGUCUCCAUGCUCUCUUUACUGGCCUUCUAAAAAUCACUUCUAAAAACUUCUCCUGUAGCUGCUUUUGUUUAAAUGUUUAGGAUUUAGAAUUCAACUUUACUGUCAUUAUGCAUGUCUAAAUACAGGGUUACAAAAUACAGUUUGCAUCUAAUCAGUAAGUGCAAUAAGAGCAAAUAUACAGAUGUACUGAUAUAGCAUAGCAUAGCAUAGCAUAUUUAUUUAUAACGCACUUUACAUCCAACAAUGUUGACCAAAGUGCUACAAAAAUAAAACAGAGAGAAAACAGUUUAAAUUACAUAUAAAAUAUCUUAAAAUUAAAAAUAAUAUAAUUAAUAAGAAAACAUAUUUAAGAGACAUCGACAAGUCCUGCUGUGCUGAAAGCCAAGGUAAAUAAAUAUGUUUUAAGACGUGAUUUAAAAACAGAUAAGGAAGGUGCCUGUCUAACAUGUAAGGGCAACUCAUUCCACAAUUUUGGUGCUGCCACAGCAAACGCCCGAUCCCCUCUGAGCUUACGAUUAGUCCUGGGCACACUCAGGAGGAGCUGGUCUGCCGACCUGAGGGACCGGGAAGGUAUGUAUGGAUGAAGAAGCUCAGAGAGGUACAGAGGGGCAGCAUUGGACAAACAUUUAAAAACAAAUAAAAGCAGCUUAAAUAUAUAUACAUAUAUAUAUAUAUAUAUACAGAUAAGGCUAGUAUAAAUGGUGAAAUAGUUAUGAACAGAGAGAUCAAAUAUACAGCUGAACUACAGACAAAUGUAUAGCAUACAGAUGUUCUAUAUUGCUGUACAGAUGUGCAGAUAUACAGGUGUACUGUGAACAAAUAUACAGAUGUGCUACAUAUAUACAGAUGUAGAGGUGUGAGGUAAACAGAUCUACAGUGCUAUGAAUAUAUCUACAGCAGUGGAAGCAUAGCUCUCUGAACAGACUAUAAUAGGCACUAUAACAGAGACUCUGUCAGUGUCCUAAAACUACAGCAGUAACCAAUGUGAACAUGUGGUGAAUGUUGAGAAUGAAAUGAUCAUGGUCACUGGGAGGAGGAGUGUAGAAGGGUUCAGUGAGUGUGGAUGGAAAGGUUCAGAGGGGGACUGAGUUCAGUAGGGUGACAGCUGUGGGGCAGGAGCUCUUCCUAAAUCUGCUGGUUUUAGUCUGAAGGCUCCUGUAGCGCCUCCUGGAGGAGAGAAGAGUUUAUUGGCAGGAUGAGAGGAGUCCCUGAGAAUGAUGCGUGCUCGGCGUAGACAUCUCUUCUUGUGGACAUCCUCAAUGGCAGGAAGUGGAGUCCCUGUGAUGUGUUGGGUGGUUUUCACCACCCGCUGCAGUGCCUUGCGGUCAGCAACAGAGCAGUUCCCACAGCAGACUGUGACACAGUUGGUCAGGAUGCUCUCUAUCACACAGCGGUAGAAGUUAACCAGUAUGUCAGUAGACAGAUGGUUCUUCUUCAGUAUCGUAAAGAAAAAAAAGGCGCUGAUGGGCCUUCUUGACCAGGCUGGAGGUGUUAGUUGACCAGGACCGAUUCUCAGAGAUGUGGGUCCCCAAGAACUUGAAGCUGGAGACCUGUUCAACAGCUGUGCCAUUUAUGUAGAUGGGGACAUGGGUAUCUCGCGUCUCCCUCCUGAAGUCCACAGUGAGCUCUUUGGUUUUGCUGGUAUUCAGGAGCAGGUUAUUGUCAGCACCACACAGAUACCUCUUCCCUGUAGCAGACUCAUCGUUGUCACUGAUGAGACAGUCACUGUGGUGUCAUCUGCAGACUUGAUGAUGGAGUUGGAUCCGUACCCUAGGUCUGCAGUCAAAGAGGAACGGUCUCAGCACACAGCCCUGUGGAGUGCCAGUGUUGAGUGUGAUGGUGGUAGAGCAGUUAUGGCCUGGCCUAACAUGCUGGGGUCUAUUGGUCAGAAAGUCCAUCAUCCAGGUACAGAUGGAGUUGUUGAGUCCAAGAUCCACAAGUUUGGUGAUCAGCUUGGAGGGAAUAACUGUACUGAAUGCUGAGCUGAAUUCAACAAACAGCAUUCUUACAUAAGUAUUGCAUAAAUAUCUGAGUACACGUUGCAAGAAACUACAUUCCCAGAUCACAUCCAGUGUGUGCUGGAAAAUUUGCAGCGAUUCUACAAAAAUGUUCCACGUGGUUGUUUUUUUUUCUUCCUACUGGUGAUGAUCCAGUGGAGCUCCAGUCACUGCAGGCUCCCUUGUGGUGCCACAAAACGGACUGCAAAAACACUUGUGCGUCCAUGACUGAUCCUGCUGCUUCACUUCUGUAUGAAUUGAUCUUUUCAUCACUGUUCACUUUGGGCAAGCAGGAAACAGAGGUGACACUGACUUGUGGCUUCACAGGAUGAUUCCCUUUAACAACAGGAGCAUGCACACAGUUUGCUUUAGGCCACCCUGAAUAGCUCACAUUGUAAAUCACAAAGAGCCAGUAUAUGAUACUGUAGCUUCCACUCACUGUGACAGGAUGGCUCGUAGGAGGUGAUUACACUCUGCUUCAUUUGGUUCCAGUUCAGAUUAAGGGACAACACAUGGAAAGACAGAAGCUGGAAACAAAUGUUAGAAAAAUAUUUACUGUUAGAAAACAUUCAGUGAAAACAACAUAGAUUUUUCUGUUUGGCAGAUUUCAAAUCUGAGUCUCCAAAAGCCAGUCAGACAAUAGAGUUGGUAUAAACAGAGAGAGGAGAUGAAGCUUUUUUUAGACAGAGGAAGGAAAAUAUUUAGAUUCACUUAAAAGGAUAAUUCUCUUUUUUUUAGCACUUUCCUCUUUCGCUUUCAUGCCAUUAAGCUCUAAUUAGCUUUAAUUUCACUUAAAGUACAUGAAUGCAGAAAAUUAAGAGUGUGAUUCUGGCAAAAGAUAAAACCUAAAAUGUAGCAUUUUGAAAGGUCACUGACCCCUCUGUCUCUUAACUGCUGUAUAUGUGCUGGAUUAUUUGGACUACAUUGUAUUGUACAGUGAGACUAUGAUUGUAUCUGUGGGGCUUAAAAACAAUGACAUUUGUUCACACACUCACAGUGGAUUCAUUUUCAAAGAUCAGGGAGCACUGCUUUAGGGCUGGUCUGGAGACAUUAACUGGCUCUAGGUGGCAGAAAGCGCUGCAAGGACUGAGAAAAAACAGUAUUAAUCCCUUUUUGGUGCACAUUAUGACAGCUGGGAUUUAUGUAUUGUGUAUAUUACGUGUUGAGGUUUUCUCUUUGUGACUGAGGUCCUUACUGGCGGUGAGAUUUGUAUUGAGCGUGCAGUGCAGAGUGAUCAGACACAUAUGUGCUGUUCCACAAACGGGAUGUUUUUAUUGUCGUCACUGUAGCAAGUGAGAUCGGUGAGAAAUAAACCAGGAGAGAUGGAAAAGAUCAAACAACAGAUCCUAAAGUCAAUGAUACAAUCGAAAUGAAGAGAACAAAAGGCUAACUGUGUGGAAGGCUGAGAUACUCGUCACUUCUGCAGAUGAGCAGCAGAGACAGUUCAACAGUCCACAGAGUAUUUUCCCAAAAGUUUUGGGGAUCAUUGAGAUGCUUUCUGGCAGAACUGAGACCAGCCUUUGUUCCUUUUGCUCAGCAGGGUUUUCAUCUCACAGUGUGAAUUAGCAGGUGGGGGAAUCCUAAAAUCAGCUGCAGUGGCUCUUUGUAGAUUUACACAACUGAAAUCAACAAGAUGUAAGCAGGUAUUUCAUGAGUUGUCUUGGUUGAUUUCCACCCUCAUCACUAACAGUUCACUGUUUCCACCGUCUUUUUUCUACAUUUAAGCAUCACCAGCUGAAAUUCGUAUUCAUCUCUGUUACUCUUGAUGUAACAGACCACGAGCACCACAGCCAUUGUGCAUCAGUCACACACAGUUCUUUACUGUAAACUAACCUGAUUAUCCUGCACUAACCUGCCGAGGAUUUUCAUGUGGUCUUUAAAUAACAGUUUGCUUUGCAGCGUGUUUCACAAUAUGAGAACAUGAAGACUUCCAUGUAAGCUUUCAGUUUAUAUCAAAUGCCACUGAACAGUCCUUACCUUUAAAUAUAAGCUCUCCUCUUCCUGUCCUGUAUUCUUUCUCCAUCUCUGAGUGAAGUUAUCUCAAACUCUUUUCCCUGUGUCUCCCAGUGAAAUACAGCAACUGGACCUUUAGCUGCAACACACUGUGAGAGAAACUACACAAAAACAGUUUGUGUGUUUGCUGAAGUUUGUUGAGCUGAUAGAAACGUUGCAUUUGAAAUUACCUGCCACAGCAUGUUACUCUCUUUAUGCUUGAUCGUCUUCUGUAGGGCUCAUUAGAUGCUGAAGUACUGCGACCGCAACUUAUGGACACCUGCAGUCGUUCCAGAGCUGUGCCAAAAAACCAAAACCCCACAGCGGCCCACUUGGACCCUUUACUAUGGCACGUCAUCUCUUUUUAUGUGACGUCCCCUGGUGAUUAUUUCAAAGAGGACUGUACGCUCAGAGUGACAAAAACAAUAACCCCCUGCAAAUUUGUUAAACCAAAAGUAAAAACAAAAUGUAAGGAGUCAAAGUACAGUUACUUGUUUCAGAAUGUAAUGAGGAAAAGUAAAAAAGUACUCCAGUAAAGUACAGAUACCUGAAAAUUCUACUUUAGUUCAGUAGAGUACAAAGUAUUUGUACUUUGUUACUUGUCCCUUGUGAUGAACACUGACCUUAACUGAGGCGAGUGAGUCGUGCAGCUCUUUGUUGUUCUGGGCUGUUUGGUGACCUUUUGGAUGAGUCGUGGCUGGAUGCCCGGCCGCUCCGAGGAAGGUUCGGUUUCCAUUUGUGGAUAAUGGCUCUCACUGUGGUUUGGUGGAGUCCCAUAGCUUUAGACAUGGCUUUAUAACCCUGUCCACACUGACAGAUCUCAAUUCAUUUGUUGCUGAAUUUCUUAGGAUGCUGGCAUGAAGUCUGGCUUUGGAGGAUCUUCUGGUCUGUGACACACAACAGUUAAUUUAUCUUAAUAAUAAACACUUUCAUUUAGAAAGUGCAUUUUGUGUUUACUUGUGUUGUUGUGUAAUAUUUAGAUGUGAUGAUCUGAAACAUUUAAGUGUGACACUUUUUCACACUAUGGUAUAUUAUUUUUUAUAUAUUUCUGUCUUUUUUGGAGCGAUCAUGAUCGGCCACCUAGACCAAAAAUGCCAGGGCUGCUUUCUGUCAGUGUAAGUGACAUAUUUAACUGUUUUUCUACAUGAUAAAGGAAAAGCUGCUGUGACAGAAAUCUGUUGGCACGGCUCUUUGUACUUAAAUCGUAAGAAAUAAAGGUGUAAAAAUAUAGAAAAAAGCCCUGACAGCUCAUUGCCCAGACUGCACAGUUUUUUCCUUUUGCUUUUUAAACUGUAUUCAUGAAAAAUCCAGAAAUUUCUGUAGCAAAAAGUGGAAAAACAAACUUUUCUGUUAUUUAAUUGUUAUUUGCUUGACAACUUUGUGUAGCAUGAAUGGAAAUAAAGGAGGUUUUUAUUACUAGGAGAAGCUGUAACACUCAUAAAAACACAGUUAAAAGACCAAAUUCAUGCUUGUGCUCGUUUGUGGUGAGCAGCAGAUCCAACAAGUUAAGAAUUAUUAACGACUUCAAGCGAGCGUUCAGGCCGGUGAGACUCAUUUAUACAGUGAGCCAUGGCUCUGUGGUACGCGCACACAUCUCUGCCAUUCAAAGACACUUUGUAUAACUUUAUUUUAUGCCAUUUUCAAAUGUACAUUAUCUUUUUCAAGAAAGCAACAUUUUAUUCAGUGUUUUCAUAAAACCAUUAUUUUUAUGCAUUAACUACUACCAGGGAGAACACACAUGAGGUCUAAGGCCUGGACAAGUUUGAAACAAAGGAAAAUGGCUGGAAAUGAAAACAGGUACCACUUUAUCCAGCUCCUUUGAUCAAUUCUGCACUCAGCUUUGCAGUCUGUCAUUGAAAUGCAGUCAGAUGCUGCUCAUAUUUUACAUUUUUGCUUGCUUCGUCACUUUCUCCCAACACACUAGCUUUUAAAUCCAGCUCCCCCGUCUCUCUGCUUCCCUGGCCUGCAUGAUAUGGUCCCUGUCUGUCUUUGCAUGUGAUUGGCUGCAUGGUGUGCAGUCAAAGUCAAAACCAGAGUCAGAAAGCCAAUCAGACAAUAAAGUUGGUAUAAACAGAGAGCAGCCAUAAAGAGAGGAGCUGAAGCUGAGUGCAAUACCUGCAUCAAGACUCAGCAUGUGACUAAAAAGGUGCAGCUUGAACUGUCAGGCAAAAUACUCCGUAUGGAAUGAGAAUGGAUGUAGGAAGAAUGUAGGAAUGAGAGUGAUUAAUGGAGUAAUUAACAAAAUUAAUAGAUUCACUUGAAAGGAUAAGUCCAUAUUUUCAGAUCAUUGCCAUUAAUAAGAAGCUGUACAUAGUAGUUCGCCCUGUGCACUCUUUAAUCUUUAAAAUGAGUCAAGAGAAAAUUAUAUAUGGUGGUUUUGCACGUCUCCUCUAUGUGUGCGUUUUAAGCAGGUUUUAAUGUUUUAUCUGUUAUAUCAGGUGUGUAUUUAUACAAAAUGAAAUUAUUUCAAACAGCUGAUCCAAUAUUUAAUGUUGCUUUAUCCUGACAUUAUGGAGUAUUACUAUUUUUAAUUGUGGAGUGGAAGGUCUGCUAGUUUUUUAGACUGUGACUGCUAUUGAUAGUAUCAGCUUUGACUGAAGGCUUUAGCUGAACUUAGGCUACGUUCACACUGCAGGUCUUAAUGCUCAAUUCCGAUUUUUUGAUCAAAUCCAAUUUUUUUGUCUGC